GGCAGUGUAUAUAUCUGUAUAUAUGUUAUAUCUGUGUUAUGUAUGUUCAGUUGUAUGUAUGUAUGGCACACUGUGCUCAUUCACAGAGCCCAGAUGAACUUACUUUUAUUACAGUUUUAGCAGUUAGGAAAAAGCAUGGAUAUAACAGAAGAUUGUGACACAUCAAGAGAAGAGCUCUUGAGGACACAUCCUGAGUCUAGAUGUGAGAACACAAAAAAUUCAUUUUACUUAUAAGAAACUCAUUGUCAGAAAGGAUUUGAACAUGACUGGGGGCCUCCGGUUACCUCUUCACGAUGACCAGCUGCUUGAUCUCAAUUAAUGAAAACAACAUUAGGGAUCCUUGUGGGAAAUCAUGAACAGAAAGCAGAUGUCCUCUGGAUUGAGCAAUAGAUGUGGGGCAUAUGAAGAACUUCAAGA